rnacentral:rRNA from 1 species
GCAUAUCAAUAAGCGGAGGAAAAGAAACUAACAAGGAUUCCCCUAGUAACGGCGGGUGAAGCGGGAAGAGCUCAAAUUUGUAAUCUGGCACCUUCGGUGUCCGAGUUGUAAUCUCGAGAAGUGUUUUCCGCGCCGGACCGCAUACAAGUCUGUUGGAAUACAGCGUCAUAGUGGUGAGAACCCCGUAACUGAUGCGGAUGCCCGGUGCUUUGUGAUACACUUUCGAAGAGUCGAGUUGUUUGGGAAUGCAGCUCAAAUUGGGUGGUAAAUUCCAUCUAAAGCUAAAUAUUGGCGAGAGACCGAUAGCGAACAAGUACCGUGAGGGAAAGAUGAAAAGCACUUUGGAAAGAGAGUUAACAGUACGUGAAAUUGUUGGAAGGGAAACGCUUGAAGUCAGACUUGCUAUUUGGAAUUCAGCCGCAAGGUGUACUUUUCAAUUCGCAGGCCAGCAUCAGUUUUCGGGGGUGGAAAAGGGUAGAGAGAAGGUAGCAAUUUCGGUUGUGUUAUAGCUCUUUGCUGGAUUCAUCCUUGGGGACUGAGGAACGCAGCACGCUUUUUGCAAGGCUUUCGAGCUUUUCGUGCUUAGGAUGCUGGUGGAAUGGCUUUAAACGACCCGUCUUGAAACACGGACC